UUCUCCCAGGAGAGAAGGGAGAGCACAUGCCCAGGCUCCGUGGAGUUCCGGCUCUCCCCUCCCUUCGCACCCCCACAAUGAGGUCACGACGGGAUGCCACCACCAGCUCGUCCCUUCCAGAGCUCUGUCUGAACUCCACCGGCCUUGCUUCUGGCCUCACCCUGCAGGUCCAGGGGACACCUCCACUUGUGAAUUCAGUCCACGGGCACUGCACACUCUCUCGGCCCCAAACUGAACCCCUUUUCCUCACCCAACAUUCUCCAUUUCAACAAAUGGCAGCAUGGUGGGUAAAAUAACACCUCCUCCAGAGACGUUAACAUCCUUAUCCCUGACAUCGG
rnacentral:lncRNA from 1 species